rnacentral:rRNA from 1 species
UACAGGGGGUGCAAGCGUUAUUCGGAAUUAUUGGGCGUAAAGGGCGCGUAGGCGGCCAUUCAAGUGACGGGUGAAAGCCCUCGGCUUAACCGAGGAACUGCCUGUCAGACUGGAUGGCUUGAGACCGGGAGAGGUGAGUGGAAUUCCCAGUGUAGCGGUGAAAUGCGUAGAUAUUGGGAGGAACACCAGUGGCGAAGGCGGCUCACUGGACCGGAACUGACGCUGAGGCGCGAAAGCGUGGGGAGCAAACAGG